CCGGGGCUAAUACCGGAUAACAUUUUGAACCGCAUGGUUCGAAAUUGAAAGGCGGCUUCGGCUGUCACUUAUGGAUGGACCCGCGUCGCAUUAGCUAGUUGGUGAGGUAACGGCUCACCAAGGCAACGAUGCGUAGCCGACCUGAGAGGGUGAUCGGCCACACUGGGACUGAGACACGGCCCAAACUCCUACGGGAGGCAGCAGUAGGGAAUCUUCCGCAAUGGACGAAAGUCUGACGGAGCAACGCCGCGUGAGUGAUGAAGGCUUUCGGGUCGUAAAACUCUGUUGUUAGGGAAGAACAAGUGCUAGUUGAAUAAGCUGGCACCUUGACGGUACCUAACCAGAAAGCCACGGCUAACUACGUGCCAGCAGCCGCGGUAAUACGUAGGUGGCAAGCGUUAUCCGGAAUUAUUGGGCGUAAAGCGCGCGCAGGUGGUUUCUUAAGUCUGAUGUGAAAGCCCACGGCUCAACCGUGGAGGGUCAUUG
rnacentral:rRNA from 1 species